AAGUCGUAACAAGGUUUCCGUAGGUGAACCUGCGGAAGGAUCAUUAAAGAGUAAGGGUCUCAAUGGCCCGACCUCCAACCCUCUGUUGUUAAAACUACCUUGUUGCUUUGGCGGGACCGUUCGGUCCUCCGAGCGCGCCGGUCUUCGGAUUGGCGAGCGCCCGCCAGAGUCCAACCAAACUCUUGUAUUAAACCAGUCGUCUGAGUACAAAAUUUUAAUUAAAUUAAAA
rnacentral:misc_RNA from 1 species